rnacentral:rRNA from 1 species
AGAGUUUGAUCCUGGCUCAGAUUGAACGCUGGCGGCGUGCUUAACACAUGCAAGUCGAGCGGUAACGCGGGGGCAACCCUGGCGACGAGCGGCGAACGGGUGAGUAAUGCUUCGGAAUCUUCCCAGUGGUGGGGAAUAACUUGGGGAAACUCAAGCUAAUACCGCAUACGACCUACGGGUGAAAGCGGGGGACCGCAAGGCCUCGCGCCAUUGGAUGAGCCGAAGUCGGAUUAGCUAGUUGGUGGGGUAAUGGCCUACCAAGGCGACGAUCCGUAGCUGGUCUGAGAGGACGACCAGCCACACUGGGACUGAGACACGGCCCAGACUCCUACGGGAGGCAGCAGUGGGGAAUAUUGGACAAUGGGGGCAACCCUGAUCCAGCGACGCCGCGUGUUGAAGAAGGCCUGCGGGUUGUAAAGCACUUUUAGUGGGGAUGAAAAGCCGAAGGCUAAUACCUUUCGGUCUGACCUAC